rnacentral:rRNA from 1 species
GAUGAACGCUGGCGGCGUGCCUAACACAUGCAAGUCGAACGGACUCAUAUUGAAACCUAGUGAUUUAUGAGUUAGUGGCGGACGGGUGAGUAACGCGUGGAAAACCUGCCGUAUACCGGGGGAUAACACUUAGAAAUAGGUGCUAAUACCGCAUAAGCGCACAGCUUCGCAUGAAGCAGUGUGAAAAACUCCGGUGGUAUAUGAUGGUUCCGCGUCUGAUUAGCGAGUGGGCGGGGUAACGGCCCACCAAGGCAGCGAUCAGUAGCCGGCCUGAGAGGGUGAACGGCCACAUUGGGACUGAGACACGGCCCAA